ACAGCAAACAAGAGACAUAUAGAAUCUUCUUUUCUUUCUUGAACAUUCCAACAAACUACCUGAUAUCAAAAAAUUUAAUUUCUUUCUCUUUCAAAUCAAAAUAUUUCAAUUGAAAUACAUAUUUUUGCAUUUGAUUGAAAUAAUUUGAAUUUAACAGUUAAAAAAAAUAAAUCAAAAAAUGAUAUAAAUUGAUGCAUUAUGGAUGAUACUUGUUUACAUUCAAUUAUGAUACAAUAUGGAGAAAGAUGGGACGUAAAAGGUAAGAGCAUCAACUGAAUUUUUGCAUACAGUGACUGAUGUGGCUAAAAGUUUCACAGUUUGUCUGCAAAGUCGAAAAUAUAGUUACAGACAAUUUCAAUUAGAUGAGAUACCUUGUAGUCAUGCCAUGACUGUUAUUACAUACAGAAAUCAGAAUGGAGAGAAUUAUUGCUUCCCAUAUUAUAGCAAAAAAAUUUUUUGAGAUGCAUAUGCAAUACCAGUUGAACCUCUUUCUUGUAAAAGCACAUGAAAAAUACCACAAGAAUUGCUGGAUGAAAUGGUAUUGCUGUCAGAUUAUAAAAGGCCGCUUGAGAGACCUUCUACAGAUAGAUAGAAAGCACCAAAUAAAGACAAAUGUAAGAGGUCAAGGGGGACUUGCAGUAGAUGCAAUAGAUAAGGUCACAACCGAACGACAUGCCACAAACAUCCGCCAUGUGUUUAGUUAAAAACACAUUUUAGUUCUUUCUGUUGUUUAUUAAACUAGUGAUAUGUUUUUUGGAUGAUAUUUUCUAAAUAACGUUUGAUGCUUAUUUUUCUGAAGUUUUUAAUUUUUAAAUUCAUUCAAUUGAACUUUUCAAUACAUUUUUGUUCAUGAUGUGAAUGGUAUGUUUCAAUAGUUUUAUUUGA